UCGAGGAUCUUCGGCAAUGGGCGCAAGCCUGACCGAGCGACGCCGCGUGUGCGAUGAAGGCCUUCGGGUUGUAAAGCACUGUCGAGGGGGAGGAAAGCCCGCAAGGGUCUGACCUAUCCCUGGAGGAAGCACGGGCUAAGUUCGUGCCAGCAGCCGCGGUAAGACGAACCGUGCAAACGUUGUUCGGAUUCACUGGGCUUAAAGGGCGCGUAGGCGGACGGUCAAGUCAGGGGUGAAAUCUUUCGGCUCAACCGGAAAAGUGCCUCGGAUACUGACCAUCUCGAGGGAGGUAGGGGCAUGUGGAACUUCCGGUGGAGCGGUGAAAUGCGUAGAUAUCGGAAGGAACGCCGGUGGCGAAAGCGACGUGCUGGACCUCUUCUGACGCUGAGGCGCGAAAGCCAGGGGAGCAAACGGGAUUAGAUACCCCUGUAGUCC
rnacentral:rRNA from 1 species